GAGGGGUGGCAGAGUGGUAAUGCAGCAGAUUGCUAAUCUGUAGGCGCGAAAGUGUCUCGCGGGUUCGAGUCCCGCCUCCUCC
rnacentral:tRNA from 1 species